ensembl:lncRNA
GGGAGGAAGAGGGAGGCAAGCAUCUCUCAGAAGAGCCCGCCACGUCCUCCUGCAACCUGGAGGGCAGUGGAGAGCGGUCCCGCUCGGGCCCAGGGAUGCGCUAAGCCACGCCCCUACGCUGCGUCACCGGCUCCGGAGCGCAGAGCUGGGGAAGCCCACGCAAGCAGAGAGACUGACUGCGGGAGGGCUGGAAGGAAGGGGGGGGGGAUUUAACUGCUCACAUACCUGAUCAAACAGGACUUUCCAGUGCUGGUAGAGAGGGAGGCCAUGCAGGAGAGGAGGAAGAGGAGAGAGAAAGAAAGAAACACACUUAUCAGCAAGGCUUCUGUAGCUCCCUGCUGUUUCUGACCUAGCCUCCCAGCUGCUGCCCAGGCUCAGGGUCCACCAAAAGACCAGGGAAAAUCUGCAGGUUAACCUCGCGAGGGAGAAGCUUAAGAAACUCCAGUUCCCAGGACUCCCCAGUGCCGGCUCUGCCGAGGGCUCGCAGGACCGGAGGGAGGGAGACUCAAGCAGCAGAUGGCAGGGAAGCCCUCUGGGGCGGCCCCUCCCGAUCCUCGCCCGGGGGACUGUCGCUGGCACGGACGCGGUCUUGGACUCCUGAGACCCCCUCUGGGAGCAAAAGCGCUCCCAACACUCCUCUCCCUCCGCCGGCUGGCCGGGCUCAGGGACCGGGGUCAGCUUGAAUUUCAAUCAGCGUCGCGACAAGGUCCGGGUCUGUCUCUCCUCACGCCGCCGAGGGUGCAGUGUCCACUUGCCGAGACCCACCGGCUUGAUGAUGACUCGGAGGCCGCAGACGCGUGAAGGAGGCAGGGAUGAGGCAAACACAUAACCCGGCCCCAGGAUCCAACCUGUGACCAAUCUCCACCGACAAGGACUGCUCCCCACCCGACUCUCCUGCUUCCCCACAGAGAAGGAAAUUAACUCCAUUCUAAUUAGGAAUCCCCUCGUCAUGUUUGAAGUCUGCAAGUCCGAACAGCGGGCGCAGCUCAGGGAGGAGACCGUGCCCUUGGCAUCCAGCCCCCGCCACCCCCGGCUCCAGCAUGCUUCCAUCACCUUCCAUCAUCGCCCGCUGUCUCCGAGAUCAAAGGAAGCCAGACUGCGAAACGGACUGCCCCCCGCCCCCAGUGCCUUUCGUCUCUUCCCCUCUCACGCCAGGGCCACCAGUUUUCCGAGGAACUUAAAUCAUUACUGAAAGACGUCUAGUUUCACAGACACCAAGCCUUUUCAAAGAGAGGCGUGGGCACCCGAAAGGGAAGCGCAGAAAAGCACAGAGGAAACUUUUCCCCGGUUCCAAGAUGUCACCAAUCCCACAUCCAGGGAAGCUCUUGGCUGUUUGGCUGGAUCUUGUCUUCCUUCUCUGCCAUCUCCUUGGGGGCUCAGCUGUCCCCAGAGUCGCAUUUCUGGAUGCUCUUGGGAGCUCCAGCACUUUGCGUGCCCUUUGCUUACGCCGUAGGCAGGUCCUGUAACCUUAAAAAACAGCUCGUUCAGUCGUGUGCAUCUCUUUGAUGAAAGCUCUCUCCUCCUGCAGCCUUUCCUCAACCCUCCAUGCCCAAAGGGACUGUGCCUUCCUCUGAAUCACGUUUUCCUUUUGACCUUGCAUUAUACUAAGUUUUAUCUUCUUUGUACAAGAAUAUAUAUUCCUCGAUGGAGAGAUUAGGGCUUAUUCGGCUGCGCACCCAUCACAAUACACUACACCACACGCCAUCAGAGCUGAACAAAUGUCUGUUUCAUGAAGAGCAGCGCAUGUGUCUUGCUCUGACAUGGAGUCUAAUUACGUAGUUAUUCCUCUCAGCCCUCAGUAAGAAACACAUUUUAUGUUAUGGAGAAAAGAUUCUUCUACAUAAUAAAAAUGCAAUUGUAUC